rnacentral:lncRNA from 1 species
AAAUGUGCCAGAAGACAAUUGCUCGAGUUUAAUGUUGGCUGCAGUUACCGUUACUCUACAGGAUACAAACUGUUAUAAUCAUACACCCUAGCGCAUCAUUCAGAGAAGCAAAUUUUAUAAAAACUCAAAUCUUUCAGCGUUUCACAGUUCCGAUCUCCAAAUCGCUUCCACACCUGCUAUGAUAGCGCAUCAGAAGAACGAAAGUAUGUAUUUAGUUUGAUCAAUUUGAUGACACAGAUUUGCAUUUAACAGUCAAGCUGGCUUUAUUCCGCCGAAAUGGAUGCAUUGCGUUUCUCCAGAUCAGACGGUUGGGAACUGAGGUAGUUGGCUGAGGGCUAAAAUUGAAGAGAGAGGGGCGGCGGCGUUGAGGAAUGGAUAGGAGGUGACGGCAGCGACGGGACAAAAGUCUUACAAUAAGACUUUUGCCUCAUUGCCGCCACCACCGCAUAUCCAUCCACCAGCUCCGCCACCCCUCCCUCCUCUAUUUUCAUUUCAGCCACCAGCCAACCACCUCCCACCUCCGAGCCGUAUGCAGGGGCAACACCUCAACUCCAGCGGCUGGAUGCAGAGAAGACAGGUCACACGGGCGACAAGGAGGUCGGGGAAGGAAGGGGAAAUGGGAGGAGAUGGAGGCACACGAAUCUCAAAAAACUAAGAAUAUGCAUGUUUGCGUUAAGAUGUGCCAGAAGACAGGUAACACGACGCGGUUUGAUUGAGCGUCAUGCUGUUUAAUGCUGGCCGGUGUUUCCGUCCGUCUAUGCUUCCCUCUACGGGAUGACCAAACUGUAAUGAACAAGCCAUCCUUCCAGUUGUGAAGCAACAAAAACAACAGUUUUUCAAUCGCAAAAUGCAAGCAGAAAAAAUUGAAAUGCACAACAAAACUGAAAAUAAUCAAGCUUUUCCUCAGUUCAGGUCUCCAAAUUGCUUCCGCACCGCGCCAUGAGAUAGCACAUCAGAAGAACGAAAGUAUUUAGUUUCAUCAUCAUCGGACAGCUUUAAGCAUUAGAUCUAGCACAAGAUAGAACAAAAGAAAGAAUCUCCAAAAGAGAUGGUCCCUCAGAAACAUUUGCAUAUAUGUAUCAACAGAUUGGUAUUUUUCAGACAAGGCUGAAACUUAAAAUUUGUCCAGUCAUCGGGAGGCCGAAGCAGAGUCCAAAACUUGACCAAAUAGCAAAAAACGAAAACCCCAGACGAGCAACAGAUCGGGUUGCUUGUUGGCACAGAUCCCUCUGGGUGAUAAUAUGGAUCUCAUCAACGUAUGAAUCAGGCCACUACUUUAACAUCACAGGUCAUCACCGGGAUCCGCGAACAGGAACUUCCGAUCCAUAGGAAAGAACGAAAACGAAAUAUGUACACGAAAAAUCAAACAGCAACCAGAUGCAGUCUCCUCAGUUCAGGUCUCCAGUUCUUCCACAUUGUGAAUUUCAGAAGAACGAAAGUAUUAUUUGGGUCAUCACCGGAGAACGCGCAGGGCGAGAAAAAACAAAAGCAAAUCGAAGCGCAGCUGAGCGAAAUCGAAGUCGGAUCGAGAAGGAGGGGCGGAGAUGCAUAUGGGAGGAAGAGAGAUACUGGGUCUGGCGGCUGGGUUUGCU